CGAAGGGGGCUAGCGUUGCUCGGAAUCACUGGGCGUAAAGCGCACGUAGGCGGCUUUUUAAGUCAGGGGUGAAAUCCUGGAGCUCAACUCCAGAACUGCCUUUGGUACUGGAAAGCUUGAGUCCGGGAGAGGUGAGUGGAACUCCGAGUGUAGAGGUGAAAUUCGUAGAUAUUCGGAAGAACACCAGUGGCGAAGGCGGCUCACUGGCCCGGUACUGACGCUGAGGAGCGAAAGCGUGGGGAGCAAACAGGAUUAGAUACCCUGGUAGUCCACGCUGUGAACGAUGGAUGCUAGCCGUUGGCGGGUUUACCCGUCAGUGGCGCAGCUAACGCAUUAAGCAUCCCGCCUGGGGAUACGGUCGCAAGAUUA
rnacentral:rRNA from 1 species